UGGGGAAUAUUGGACAAUGGGGGCAACCCUGAUCCAGCCAUGCCGCGUGUGUGAAGAAGGCCUUAGGGUUGUAAAACACUUUCAGCGGGGAAGAUGAUGACGGUACCCGCAGAAGAAGCCCCGGCUAACUCCGUGCCAGCAGCCGCGGUAAUACGGAGGGGGCUAGCGUUGUUCGGAAUUACUGGGCGUAAAGGGCGUGUAGGCGGCUUGCCAAGUCAGGCGUGAAAGCCCCGGGCUUAACCUGGGAACUGCGUUUGGGACUGGCAGGCUAGAGGUUGGAAGAGGAGAGUGGAAUUCCCAGUGUAGAGGUGAAAUUCGUAGAUAUUGGGAAGAACACCGGUGGCGAAGGCGGCUCUCUGGUCCACACCUGACGCUGAGGCGCGAAAGCGUGGGGAGCAA
rnacentral:rRNA from 1 species